GAUGAACGCUGGCGGCGUGCCUAAUACAUGCAAGUCGAGCGAACAGAUGAGAAGCUUGCUUCUCUGACGUUAGCGGCGGACGGGUGAGUAACACGUGGAUAACCUACCUAUAAGACUGGGAUAACUUCGGGAAACCGGAGCUAAUACCGGAUAAUAUAUUGAACCGCAUGGUUCAAAAGUAAAAGACGGUCUUGCUGUCACUUAUAGAUGGAUCCGCGCUGCAUUAGCUAGUUGGUAAGGUAACGGCUUACCAAGGCAACGAUGCGUAGCCGACCUGAGAGGGUGAUCGGCCACACUGGAACUGAGACACGGUCCAGACUCCUACGGGAGGCAGCAGUAGGGAAUCUUCCGCAAUGGGCGAAAGCCUGACGGAGCAACGCCGCGUGAGUGAUGAAGGUCUUCGGAUCGUAAAACUCUGUUAUUAGGGAAGAACAAAUGUGUAAGUAACUAUGCACAUCUUGACGGUACCUAAUCAGAAAGCCACGGCUAACUACGUG
rnacentral:rRNA from 1 species